rnacentral:tRNA from 1 species
GCUAUUUUGGCAGAAUUUAUGUAAUGAUUUUAGAAUUCAUAGAUAUAUAAUUUAUUUAUAUAG